rnacentral:rRNA from 1 species
CCAGCCGCCUAAGGUGGGAUAGAUGAUUGGGGUGAAGUCGUAACAAGGUAGCCGUAUCGGAAGGUGCGGCUGGAUCACCUCCUUUCUAAGGA